CCUACGGGAGGCAGCAGUGGGGAAUCUUGCGCAAUGGACGAAAGCCUGGCGCAGCAACGCCGCGUGCGGGAUGAAGGCCUUCAGGCUGUAAACCGCUUUCAGCAGGAACGAAAAUGACGGUACCUGCAGAAGAAGGAGCGGCCAACUACGUGCCAGCAGCCGCGGUAAU
rnacentral:rRNA from 1 species